AUGUGCAUGAGUGUUUGUUGCUCCGUCUCGAGACAUUAGUGUGGACAGAUUACGAAGGGCUAAUAAAAGAGAACAAAGAGGUGGCGAAAUACAUCCUAAUAAGGAAUACUAGUCGUUUGAAAAAGGCAACUCUUAACGUUGUAAAUCAACGAUUUUUGCUGACUUUUCAUUUUCGCCCUCGCUUGUCUCAGAACACGUUUUGGAAUUUCGAUCUUGUGGCUCUUCACCAAUGGAUUAGACCAAAGAAUGUUCCUGAAUGCUUGUUGCUUCAUCUCGAAA